AUAUAAUUAAAACACAAGACAUAGAACGGCCAGGAUUUACCAAUUUAGUGUUACAAUAUAUAAAUGGUUGAGAUUAAUCAAUGUGGAUCUCACGCGGUCUUAAAAUCCUGCGCCAACACGCUAACCUUUUUGCGUGGGUCACGGAUCUGUGCAAUCGAUAACUAACACACAGGUGUCUAUCCCGGUGGAUCAGCAAAUUCGCUCAAUGACGAUGCAGAGAGGCUACAAAGAUUUGUUCAGAUCCACAACUGCUUGGGCGGGCGCGAGGAGCCGGAAACAGCAAAGAGGAGAAACGGCGGCUGGAAUCAAGACGAGAAGGAUCGUCCAACCAGAUCCGUGCCGAUCAAUGGCAUAGUCACGGUUAGUGCUGCCCAUCCAGAUGGGAGGCUGUCAUGGACCAUCGUGAAGCCUGCAUCUCCGUCAAAGAAAUCCUAGAAGAGAAACUGCCGGGAUAGCUACUCCCUGCAGGCAGCUCCUCGACAAGUGCCGGCCGGCAGGUUAGCUAUGGGAUGUACUCCACUCCAGCAAAUACAGUAUGUUCCACCAAUAACGUGCUAUAUGUAAGUUGGAACUAGGGCAAUUGCAUAUUAGAUAGAUCUAUUUUAUGAAGUAGGUGCAUGAUCGUCUAAGUACUCUAUGAACAAAUUCAAAUCGAAUGAUAUAGGUCGAUGGAACAAGGUACGCACUAAGCACUCCAUCUCUAUAAUUCUGAGGACAUCAUAUAAUCUAUUUUUGACAAAUAUUAUGCUACAACUUUUAUGCAUUCGGAAACUGGAAAUCAUGGUUUGAAUAAGUUGAAACUAGGGCAAUUGCAUAUUAGAUAGAUCUAUUUUACGAAGCAGGUGCAUGAUCGUCUAAGUACUCUAUGAACAAAUUUAAAUUGAAUGAUAUAGGUCGAUGGAACAAGGUACGCACUAAGCACUCCAUCUCUAUAAUUCUGAGGACAUCAUAUAAUCUAUUUUUGACAACUAUUAUGCUACAACUUUUAUGCAUUCGGAAACUGGAAAUCAUGGUUUGAAUUUUCUCAAAAAGUAUUUUCAGCAAAUACAGUGAUUUUAGAUUGUGCCUAUGUUGAGGACUUCCUAAAUAACAUACAGAGCUCAUCAACGACGCCUUGAACAAAAACAAGAUCGGCCCUGUUGUGUCUGCUUUCAACACAAUGCAUGCCUUCCAUUCCGCUUGCCAAUUCCAAUAUUCCCAUCUUUUACCUUUUGGAGACGACCAACCUGUGUUUGAGGUACUGUGGUGAAGGAAUACGGUAGGGGAAGCCCCUACAAUGAUUUUUUUUUUUGAAAUAAUAAGAACCCAAAUUCGCGUCCCUAAGAGCUUCAACCUGGGUGGCUGGGUUGUACAUCCACUUCCCUAACCAAGUGAGCUAGGCUCACUUCUUAAUCCAAUUUACUUUGGUUUGAAGCAACACAUGGGCGGAAAAUUGACCAUUAAGAUUUUAAUUAAGGAUGGCAUCUCAAUCUUUGAGUUUGGAUUAAAUGGUUCGAACAAAUCAGCGUCAAGCUUGAAGAAUCAAGUGGGGAAGAUAAUUAUAUGCACAAGAACUGUAUAUAUGUUGUGGGAAUCUGUGAUGAUAAAUAACCAAGAAGGCGAUACAAAAUCUACUAUGGAAAAGAUGGCUCUUUCUUGAGUAGUAUUGUCAUUGACUUGCAUACUUCUAUUUGUGGAUAUAUCUUGCUUAUGAUAUGUGUGACCAAAAAAAUGUAUGUAAUCAUACAAUUAGUUUUAUGAACCAACCAGGUUCAAGCUUUGUUUAUGUCUUUUGCAGUAUUAUAUCUUCCUUAUGUUACUAUGUCAUCCAUAAACAACUAAAUUUGAGCGAUAGAUUUAAAACAUUAAUGACAGAUGAAAGCGAUUGAAAUCCAUGAGAUGAAGUAUCGCACGGUAAACUCCUUUGCGGUAUUAGGGUGCUUCUUCUGCAAAAUCUGGGACUUUUACUACAUUGAAAGAACUAUUUUCAUUUGUGAUGGAAUUUCUAUGAGCUCCAAUGAUUUAUUCACUCUCAGGCAACUUCAUGUAUGC